CGCCCAGCUAAUUUUUGUGUUUUUAGGGGAGACGGGUUUCACCAUUUUGGCCAGGGUGGUCUCGAUCUCCUGACCUUGUGAUCCGCCCGACUCGGCCUCCCAAAGUGCUGAAAUUGCAGGCGUGAGCCACUGCGCCUGGCUGAGUACAAUAUUAAUGUAGACAAACCAUGAAGUUUAUUAUUUCAUAUAAGAACAUUACAGGUUUGUUUUUUCUUGCAUGUCUGUCCACCUAAUGUUUAAGUAGUUCUGGUAGCUCUUCCUAUUCUUUAUUCUAUUUGAUUCCAUUUCUGUGAUUCUUUUAUUACCACUGAUGUUUUGUGAUAGUUAACUAUGAUAAAUUUAACUGAUCAUGAUUUAUCUUCUAGAGUAUUUAAAUAAUGUAUGAGUGACCACCCAAUUCCAACAUUAAAAGUGUAAUCUGGGCCCAUAAUUUAUAGUGAAAUUGUAUCAAAACAUAGGGAAACUGUAUUACUGUCCAUUUUGAAAAUAUGAAACUUGAGUAUUGAAAAUAUUCAAACAUGGAAUGGCAGUAUUCUAAUUUCAGUUAGUUGGUUCAUGUUAAUUUCUUACCUGUUAGAUGUUUAAACUGCAGUGACCUUUACUUGUAUCUACUCUGUGGUGGAAAUGUUAAACCAUGAUAGCUUUUGCUACCAACUCAACCACUUAACUUUUAGAGCAGUUUUGGGGAGAGUUUAUGCUUCAUCUGAGUUUAGAAGUAAUGUCAGAAAAUGUUAAGCAUGUCUGUAUUAAGAAAAUAUAAGGUUUCUAAUUGUCUUAUUAAUAUGGUAAUUCAAGUGAAUUAGAAAUAUUUAACUGCAAUCUUGAAUUAUAAAGUUGAGA
rnacentral:lncRNA from 10 species